CCGUGGUUGCGAACACUUUUUUUUGCGAAUUAGUUUUGAACGAGCUCUGCCCCGUGUGUCACCGGAUCAGUGGCCUCGGAUUGUUGGGGGCAUGUGACAAGAUCAUAGCAGGCCCCACACGAAGCUAGAACGAGAGAGAGAGAGAGCGAACGAAAGAGAGUUGGACGCGAGUUCACACUUAACAACCAAGCAAAGUUGACUCGACGGUCGCGCGAUAAGGUCCGUGAAUGUGUGUAGUGUGGUGCAGCAGCAGCAGCAGCAGCCGCCUUAGCAUCCGUAGCAGCCGUUGGAAACAGAACAGCCGACGACGACGACGACGACGGCGACAACGGUUUGCUGCGAAGCGCGCGCGUGACUGUUUUGCGUUGAGAGACAGACACAGACACCACAGAACAAGGCGGGGGACCGACGACCGAGAUCGGCCUUAGAGACAGCGGCAGCAGCCAGCCAGUCAGCCAGUGUCAUCCGGUUUUGCGUGUGGUGUGGCUGUUCCGAGCCGAGGUCGACGACAGUGGUGCCGUCGGAUGGUGUGUGGAUUUCCAGCAGUUUCCAUCAAGAAGACAGGGACAGAGUUACGUGUUCAAAUAAGAUUCUUUCCCGCCGGAGGUGAUUCCUUCUGGUCCAACCAAGUGUCCGAUCUCCGCUGGCCGCGGAUUGUUAAUGUGCCUCCGGUGUCCGUGCGUGUCCCCGCGUAUGUGUGGUAGUGUGUGCUGGUGUGUAUGUGCCGCCGGUUGAAUGAACCGCCUGGCGCCGCCUUCGUCUGGGACUGUGUGACGUGGGUUUUGCGGUUUUUGUCUUUUCGGAGCCCCCGAACAAUCUGCCGAAUGUUAUCAAAAAUAGAAUCCUUUUUUACCGGCGGACAAUAAUGAGAGCGAAGCGCUCGCGCUCGACAACUGCUAUCAUCGCGGAUUGGACUUGGAGUUCGAAGCGCCAGAAGAGGAGGAACCACGGGAUCGAGCAAUGCACCUGCGUCGGAGAAUAUGCGCGCAUGAUGACAUCGCCCACGGUAGACUGCAUCAUCCAAGAAGGCGUCACCGUUGCCAUCGCUAGGGGUCAGUGAUCGGCCUGCUGCUUUGCAAACUGUGGCCCGCAUACAACAAACAGAAUGAAGGAUGACCUCAGGCGCGGCCCAACAACUGCUCCACCGGAAACUGGAACCGGAAUCGCCCGCACCAGCUGACGGAGAGAACAGAGUCCAGGAGAGGAGGAGACCGUCGCGUUCGCAACAAAGCGCGCAUGAACCUUGGCGCACGGGGUCAACCGUCUAGACGUGUGUCGCGCUCACUGUGGACCACCCUGCCUUCCCCCUCUUCGCACUCUAACCAGCAGGAGGGCGACAGCAAUGGACAGACGACGGCGCCGGGUGUAGGAGGAGAAAGACAGUGCUUUGUCCCACCGCACCCUUGUGUGUGGGUUGCGUGCGUGCCCAGUCAUUGGUCUCGUUGUGGCCGAACAAGAAGAUGAUGAUGAUGAUGAGGAACAUUCAUACCGUGUAAUGGCGCCGUAUCAAUGGAAGAUGAGAACGCACCCCGAACCGAAGCAAUAAACGAAUUGGUUGAAGGACGACGGACGGACGGUUUCCAAGAAAACGGAACAUUUGCGCCAGAGCGCCAGAGCGCCAGAGGUGAACGCGACGCGAUCCGGCUGCCGCCACCGGUUUUAUGACCAUCAUAUGGUAUGUGGUGUGCGAGUAAAUGCUGUAUCCUGUCUCCGUCCCGAGGUCUCUGCUGGUUUGCUUUUGCUGUCAUCUUCCUUAGCUCCCGACGACGGUCUGCGCCUGGUUGAGUGUCUUUUCUUUUUAGAUCCUUUCCUGGUGCAGAUUCUGCUCAUUCGACAAGAAAUGAAACAUUUGAGUAUUAAGAGAGAGCGAGAGAUGGAAAACGGAUAUGGUUUGUCGCUGCGCGCGAGAUCGAGUCAACGAAGGCACCCCUAGCAACAGAUCGCAGUAGCCAAGUGAAACACACUGCUUGUUCCUUCUCAGCCGGAAGAAGGAUGGUCUGGUUCUCCGCUCCACGCUCUAACCUUCGCUUUAAGCAAACGGUCCCCCAUUCCGGUCCGGUUCCCGGGGGUUUGCGACGAUCAUCAGCAGCUUCUGGGUGGAAAAUUCCACUUUCAUUCCACCGUGAUUGGCCCUGUUGGCGUGUGGUGUAGCACUUCUUCAGCGUGACUUACUUAUCGACCAGCUAGGAAUUACCACGAAAGCGGCACGUGCGGGGAAGUGCUUUAUCUUUUUGCGGCAAACAUUUCGUCAUCCACGUCAUCGUGGGACGUCGACGCCCCAGUACGUGCGUACAUGCUGACAUCAAUCGGCCGUUCGGGGAUCGGCUGGCGACUGCACGGGUAUCGGCCGCUGUGUCUGGGGCUGAUAAGAUGCUCUAUUCGGUGCCAUUAUUAAGACACCACUCCCCCAGGUACGCUGUGUAGCAUGAUCACAACCCUUUUCGGCGAGGACAACAGUACCUGUGGCAGGUUACAGUUGGUGUGCGGAGUGUCCACUUUUCGCUCUCUCUCUCUCUCUUUCCCAUUAUGGAAUGCGAUUGGAAUGUGCGGGGCCGGAUCGCAAAAGUCAAUGGACUCACGGUGCGACGAUCGGCCUGUUUUGCUGCGUGUGCUGCGCAGUUUUUCUUUGCUUAAAUAAACAAACAGACACAUACACGGAGUGGCCUGGCCACGGUAGAAUGGAAGAAUCGGCCACCACCGCGGUGGCUGUCAAGAAGUCAAACAACGGGACGCGCACCGCAACGACCUGCUGCUGCUGCUGCUGCUGGUGCUGUUGACGUCAACGGCCAGCGCGAGUGUAUGAUGAUGUGUGCUUUGCCCUCCCUCCUGGCCACUCGUUCUGUGCAUCCGGUGACGUCAUGUCAGGGCGAUCAUUGAUCACCAACCCAGAAGAGGGUACAUCAGAGAAGAACCUCGUUUCCUCGUUGCCCGUUUAUCGCGUUGCAUCGCCAAAUCACGGUACGAUUGCUCAUGCAGGGAUCAAUCGUCGACUGAGAGUGUUUUCUUCGAGACCGGCUGAAUCAUCGCAAUCGCAAAUAGAGGUAAUGCUGACCAUUGCACAAACUUCCGCCGGACCACUCUGGCCGAGGAUGAUGAAUGUGCUUAUCAGCGUUGGCAGGGCUGGGGAAAAAUAAGAAGAAAUAGAAGAAGGUCGUUGUUAGUCAUCUUCUGCCCUGGA